UACGUAGGGUGCAAGCGUUAAUCGGAAUUACUGGGCGUAAAGCGUGCGCAGGCGGUUGUGUAAGACAGAUGUGAAAUCCCCGGGCUCAACCUGGGAACUGCAUUUGUGACUGCACAGCUGGAGUGCGGCAGAGGGGGAUGGAAUUCCGCGUGUAGCAGUGAAAUGCGUAGAUAUGCGGAGGAACACCGAUGGCGAAGGCAAUCCCCUGGGCCUGCACGUGACGCCCAUGCACGAAAGCCGUGGGGAGCAAACAGG
rnacentral:rRNA from 1 species